rnacentral:rRNA from 1 species
GACGAACGCUGGCGGCGUGCUUAACACAUGCAAGUCGAACGGAGUGGCGAACGGGUGAGUAACAGGUGGGUGACCUGCCCUGCACUUCGGGAUAAGCCUGUGAAACUGGGUCUCAUACCGGUAAGUGUGGGCUGGGCCCGGGGCCUAUCAGCUUGUUGGUGGGGGAAUGGCCUACCAAGGCGGCGACGGGUAGCCGGCCUGAGAGGGUGGACGGCCACAUUGGGACUGCGACACGGCCCAGACUCCUACGGGAGGCAGCAGUGGGGAAUAUUGCGCAAUGGGCGGAAGCGUGAUGCAGCGACGCCGCGUGGGUGAUGACGGCUUUCGGGUUGUAAACUCCUUUCACCAUCGACGCGGUAGAUGGAGAAGAAGCACCGGCUAACUACGUGCCAGCAGCCGCGGUAAUAC